AACUCGCACCUGUGUGCUGAUGACCUGCCUGUCUUGACUGGAGGCCACCCCUCUCAACAGUUUGCAAGAUCAUUGAACAGGAAGAUGUAGCACGUUUUGCUAAGUAUUGUCACUCAUCUAA
rnacentral:lncRNA from 1 species